ACGGAGGAUGCAAGCGUUAUCCGGAAUGAUUGGGCGUAAAGCGUCCGCAGGUGGCUAUGUAAGUCUGCUGUUAAAGAGUGAGGCUCAACCUCAUAAGAGCAGUGGAAACUACAUAGCUAGAGUGCGUUCGGGGCAGAGGGAAUUCCUGGUGUAGCGGUGAAAUGCGUAGAUAUCGAGAGGAACACCUGCGGCGAAGGCGGGUUGCUGGGCUGACACUGACGCUGAUGUGCGAAAGCUAGGGGAGCGAACGGGA
rnacentral:rRNA from 1 species